CGCCGGCGCGCAGGCACAGUGAGAUUUGACGCAGUUUGCAGCGGAUUCUCCGUGGAGAGCUCCGGUGUGUGCGUCUGACGGAGACAGGGAGGAGGAGGGGGCAGGAAUGGCGGACGGGGACUGUGCCGUGUCUUUGGAGUGGGACAACGUGGAUCGAGCCUUCGCUGUGUGAGUUGCGCAUUCGGACGUGGAGCCUGGAGCUCGGCUGUCCCCAUGGAUCCAGAGAAGACGCUGACGUUCUGCCUUGGGCUGCAGGCCGAGGAGAUGACGAUGUCCCUGCAGGAGCUGGUUGCACCUGAAGCCGCGACGGUGCCUCUGAGGGAGAUCGAAAGGAACACAGCUGAGGAGGUGAGG